CUUAUAUGUAAGACAUGAAGUGAAUGUAAAUAGGUUCUUAUUCAAUUCACAUCCACUUGAUAGUAUUAAAAUAUCACUUAAAAUGCAAUUUAAUAACAUUAAUUUUCCUUUAAAUUUGCUGUGGUAUAAAUGCUGCUUUUAAUGAACAUUCAUCAAUUAGCUGGGAUUCAGUUUCUCUAUUUUGUGUAGCACUAGCCACUUAGCAUUUUCUCAAAGUACUUUAUAGGGUAUAAAAAUAGUCCCUGGUAACAUUUAAGUAAAGGCAGCAGGAAACAAAAGAACAUUCAAGUAGAAAUUAGGUUCCCUGCCACCUCCUCCACCUCAAAGAACAAUAAGCAUGUGGCACAAAUAGAGUUCUUCAGAAAAACUGUCUGCAUAAUUUUCUUCGAAGAUAAUCUAUUUGACAGCACGAAGUUUGUGAUCUUAAUUGGUCUACUAUUUAGUGAAGUCUUAGACACUCGAUUGAUGUAUUUCUGAGAGAAUACGUUAUUUCACCAGUAUGCGUGACUCACCUUCCUGCUAAAGGCUUUUAGAAAUACAGAUUGUGAGAGGGCACCAGUCCAAUCUGGCUUCUGCAAAAAAUCCAGAGUUAACUUCAUCUGUAAGUUUCUAACUUCAAGUUGCCUUAUUUUUUAUAGUUUAAGAAUUAAUUUGAGGGGGGGACAGUUUACAGCAGAAUUUUUAACGUAACUGUUAGAUUUCAGAAUCCUAUUGUUUGAAGAGAUCCUCUUAAUGUCAACUUUAUUCAGAUGUGUGAAGUCUGCUUUUUAAUUUCACCUGAUACUCAAUACAUUAGGGGUGGACUUCUCUGUCUGCCCUUUCUGCAUUUUUAAAGAUCUUUAUUUAAGGUUUAGAGUUCUUUAGGUUCAAAUUCCUGUGAUGUUUUACUGUGUAACUUACAGUUUCUUAGUAUACAGAAUUCGAAUUUUCAGUAUAUAGUACAUUUUAUGGUACAUUUUUGAAAAGAUUUUUUUGUAAUCCUUAGUUAACAAAAAAUUUAACAGAAAGCAACUACUUAAAUUUAGGUUGAAUUCAAUGUAUUCAAUGUUUUGGGUAUGACACAUCCCAAACACUGAUAAAGGGGACAGGCUCUCUGCCCUUGAAAAGCCCAACCUGGGAAACAGCAGCAACUGAAACUGGGACCAGGGUUAAGGAAAGAGCCACAGGGACGAGCACUGUGAUGCACUGCGGGGGAGACCAAAGAGAGGAAUUCAUGUUGUCAGGUGUGGGGAGAUGGUCAUAUAAGUACAGGGGCAGCUUGAUAGCAUUUGGUUUCUAAGUAGUUUUAAAGGAUAUUCCUUCUGAUUUGUGAACAGGUGCAGGAAAAAAGCCUGCACAAUGUUACAUAUUUAUAGUAGUUCUUUGUCUGUAAAAAUGUUAAUUGGAUGAGCUAUUAUGAAAGCAAAAGUUCUAAUUUGUAUUUCUCAUUAAAAUUAGUACUAUAUUACUGUGGAUCAGAUGCAAAUAUUAAAGAAAUAAUACUCUGUAAAAAAGUUUUAAUCUGAAUUAAUAAUAUGUACUGAAUAUUAAUAUAAAAUAAAUGUGAUAUUGGUUCAUGUUUAUUUACCCAGGUCUUUUAAGAGAAACAUGGUAUAGUACAUUAAUUUCCUAAAACCAUAAAGAUCACAGAUGGAAACUGAGUUAGCACCACCAAAAGUUUUGC
rnacentral:lncRNA from 1 species